AACGAACGCUGGCGGCAGGCUUAACACAUGCAAGUCGAGCGCCCCGCAAGGGGAGCGGCAGACGGGUGAGUAACGCGUGGGAACGGACUAGUUGGUUCGGAACAACUCCGGGAGACUGGGGCUAAUACCGGAUAAGCCCUAACGGGGAAAGAAUUAUCGCCGAAAGAUCGGCCCGCGUCGGAUUAGCGAGUUGGUGAGGUAACGGCGUACCAAGGCCACGAUGUGUAGCCGGUCUGAGGGGAUGAUCGGCCACACUGGAACUGAGACACGGCCCAGACUCCUACGGGAGGCAGCCGUAGGGAAUCUUCCGCAAUCGGCGAAAGCCUGACGGAGCAACGCGGCGUGAGUGAUGAAGGUCUUCGGAUCGUAAAACUCUGUUAUUAGGGAAGAACAAAUGUGUAAGUAACUAUGCACGUCUUGACAGUACCUAAUCAGAAAGCCACGGCUAACUACGUG
rnacentral:rRNA from 1 species